rnacentral:rRNA from 1 species
AGAGUUUGAUCCUGGCUCAGGAUGAACGCUAGCUACAGGCUUAACACAUGCAAGUCGAGGGGAAACGAUAUUGGAAGCUUGCUUCCGAUAGGCGUCGACCGGCGCACGGGUGAGUAACGCGUAUCCAACCUGCCCACCACUUGGGGAUAACCUUGCGAAAGUAAGACUAAUACCCAAUGAUAUCUCUAGAAGACAUCUGAAAGAGAUUAAAGAUUUAUCGGUGAUGGAUGGGGAUGCGUCUGAUUAGCUUGUUGGCGGGGUAACGGCCCACCAAGGCAACGAUCAGUAGGGGUUCUGAGAGGAGGGUCCCCCACAUUGGAACUGAGACACGGUCCAAACUCCUACGGGAGGCAGCAGUGAGGAAUAUUGGUCAAUGGACGAGAGUCUGAACCAGCCAAGUAGCGUGCAGGAAGACGGCCCUAUGGGUUGUAAACUGCUUUUAUAAGGGAAUAAAGUGAGAGUCGUGACUCUUUUUGCAUGUACCUUAUGAAUAAGGACCGGCUAAUUCCGUGCCAGCAGCCGCGGUAAUACGGAAGGUCCGGGCGUUAUCCGGAUUUAUUGGGUUUAAAGGGAGCGUAGGCCGGAGAUUAAGCGUGUUGUGAAAUGUAGACGCUCAACGUCUGCACUGCAGCGCGAACUGGUUUCCUUGAGUACGCACAAAGUGGGCGGAAUUCGUGGUGUAGCGGUGAAAUGCUUAGAUAUCACGAAGAACUCCGAUUGCGAAGGCAGCUCACUGGAGCGCAACUGACGCUGAAGCUCGAAAGUGCGGGUAUCGAACAGGAUUAGAUACCCUGGUAGUCCGCACGGUAAACGAUGGAUGCCCGCUGUUGGUCUGAAUAGGUCAGCGGCCAAGCGAAAGCAUUAAGCAUCCCACCUGGGGAGUACGCCGGCAACGGUGAAACUCAAAGGAAUUGACGGGGGCCCGCACAAGCGGAGGAACAUGUGGUUUAAUUCGAUGAUACGCGAGGAACCUUACCCGGGCUUGAAUUGCAGAGGAAGGAUUUGGAGACAAUGACGCCCUUCGGGGCCUCUGUGAAGGUGCUGCAUGGUUGUCGUCAGCUCGUGCCGUGAGGUGUCGGCUUAAGUGCCAUAACGAGCGCAACCCCUCUCCUUAGUUGCCAUCAGGUUAAGCUGGGCACUCUGGGGACACUGCCACCGUAAGGUGUGAGGAAGGUGGGGAUGACGUCAAAUCAGCACGGCCCCG